GAAAUGCGAUAAUUAAUGUGAAUUGCAGAAUUCAGUGAAUCAUCGAGUCUUUGAACACACAUUGUGCCCCCUGGUAUUCCGGGGGGCAUGCCUGUCCGAGCGUCAUUGCUGCCCUCAAGCACGGCUUGUGUGUUGGGCUUCCGUCCCUGGCAACGGGGACGGGCCCAAAAGGCAGUGGCGGCACCAUGUCUGGUCCUCGAGCGUAUGGGGCUUUGUCACCCGCUCCCGUAGGUCCAGCUGGCAGCUAGCCUCGCAACCAAUCUUUUUAACCAGGUUGACCUCGGAUCAGGUAGGGAUACCCGCUGAACUUAAGC
rnacentral:misc_RNA from 1 species